rnacentral:rRNA from 1 species
UACGUAGGAGGCAAGCGUUGUCCGGAGUUACUGGGCGUAAAGCGCACGCAGGCGGUCUGCUAAGUUUGGAGUGACAGUUGGUGGCUUAACUGCCAAAGUGCUUCGAAAACUGACAGACUUGAGGGCUUCAGAGGGACACGGAAUUCCGGGUGGAGUGGUGAAAUGCGUAGAGAUCCGGAGGAACACCAAAGGCGAAGGCAGUGUCCUGGGGAGUACCUGACGCUCAGGUGCGAAAGCCAGGGGAGCGAACGGG